rnacentral:rRNA from 1 species
UGUUCGGUUAAGUCCUGUAACGAGCGCAACCCCUGCCGUUAGUUACAUGUGUCUAACGGGACUGCCCGGCUCAACUGGGAGGAAGGUGGGGACGACGUCAAGUCAGCAUGGCCUUUAUAUCCUGGGCUACACACACGCUACAAUGGUCGGUACAAUGGGCCGCCAAGCCGCGAGGCGGAGCCAAUCCUCCAAAACCGGCCUCAGUUCAGAUUGUAGGCUGCAACUCGCCUGCAUGAAGUUGGAGUUGCUAGUAACCGCGCGUCAGCUAUAGUGCGGUGAAUACGUUCCCGGGGCUU